GAUGAGAACGUAGUGAAAUGCGAUAAGUAAUGUGAAUUGCAGAAUUCAGUGAAUCAUCGAAUCUUUGAACGCACAUUGCGCCCCCUGGUAUUCCGGGGGGCAUGCCUGUUCGAGCGUCAUUACAACCCUCAAGCUCUGCUUGGUGUUGGGCCCCGCCGCCCCGGCGGGCCCUAAAAUCAGUGGCGGUGCCGUCCGGCUCCGAGCGUAGUAAUUCUUCUCGCUCUGGAGGUCCGGGUGUGUGCUCGCCAGCAACCCCCAAUUUUUUUCAGGUUGACCUCGGAUCAGGUAGGGAUACCCGCUGAACUUAAGCAUAUCAAUAAGCGGAGGA
rnacentral:misc_RNA from 1 species